rnacentral:lncRNA from 1 species
GUUCAGUUUAAUCAAUGAUAUGACCCACUAAAAUCAUUUCCAAAAAGUAUUCUGUUCUCAAAAUGUAAUCAUUACCAUCACUCAUAGCUCUUAAAAUAAUAAUAGUGGACAUUAAUAUCAUGCUUUAAGGUUUGCAAAGCACUUUACAUAUAUUAAUAUUCUCAAUAGCAAUCAGCGAAGCUCCUAGAAAUCAUUUAGGAGAUAGACAUGUAAAACAUGCCCUAGGCCUGCUCUCUCUCACUCUUAAAAGGAACAAGUUUUCUCCAUUAAAAUGAUUUUCUUUAGUGCUUGCAAACAAAUAUUGGGACUUUCUUAAAAUUCAGUAGUUGUGCUCCCUGAUAAACCAGCAACAUUCAGUUCAGUUCUGCAUCUGGCGGUCAGAGGUCUCUCUCAAGCAAUGAAGAAGAUUGUAAGCAAACAAUGGUGUUUCCAUGGUGACGACAGGUGACUAUGGGUUUUGUGUGCUUUGGGGGUACUAACUCUUCUCUAAAUGAAUAAAUAGAAGGUCAUAUUGACUUGACGAGACAGCGUACCAGAACAAUGGAUAGAGCUGGACUUGGGAGUUGAGAAGACUUGACUUUAAACCUUGCUUCAAACACUUUCCAUCUGUGUGACUGAAAAUAUGACUUCUAUCAGCCUCAAUGUUCCCAUGUAAAAUGGGAAUCAUAAUAGCAUUUCCCUCAGUGUCAUUCUCAAGAUCUGGAAUUCAGCAGAAGAGGACCAGAAAUUCAAUCAACUGUCAUUUGUCAUUCUCCUAUUAUGUGUCUGUCGCUGUUCUCCACUAUGAAUAAUAUAGAAGAAUCAGGGGUGUUGUGGUAAAUGUUGAACAACUACCUCUUCAAAUAUUCUCAGAACAUUUAAAACUUUAAUCUGUAUUAUUAACAUUUCCCCCAAAACUUUCUUAAGGCUAGAAAUCAACAAAACAACAAAUCAGUUUCUGAUUUGUGGUAUUUGUUCAUUUCCAAAGUACAAAGUAUUUACACUGAAACUUUAACAAUCAGCAUUCUGGAGCUGGUUCGAGCUGGCUCCAGCACUCUCUAUGAAAAAGACACAUAUCCCUAUCACAAAACUUACCUCCAGUCUACUUA